rnacentral:rRNA from 1 species
UACGUAGGGCGCAAGCGUUGUCCGGAAUCAUUGGGCGUAAAGCGCACGUAGGCGGCGCGUUAAGUCGGGUGUGAAAGCCCUGGGCUCAACCCAGGAAGUGCAUUCGAAACUGGCGCGCUUGAAUAUGGAAGAGGGUCGCGGAAUUCCCGGUGUAGAGGUGAAAUUCGUAGAUAUCGGGAGGAACACCAGUGGCGAAGGCGGCGACCUGGGCCAAUAUUGACGCUGAGGUGCGAAAGCGUGGGGAGCAAACAGG